rnacentral:rRNA from 1 species
AACGAACGCUGGCGGCAUGCCUAACACAUGCAAGUCGAACGAGAUCUUCGGGUCUAGUGGCGCACGGGUGCGUAACGCGUGGGAAUCUGCCCUUUGGUUCGGAAUAACAGUUGGAAACGACUGCUAAUACCGGAUGAUGACGAAAGUCCAAAGAGUUAGCGCCAGAGGAUGAGCCCGCGUAGGAUUAGCUAGUUGGUGGGGUAAAGGCGCACCAAGGCGACGAUCAUUAGCUGGUCUGAGAGGAUUAUCAGCCACACUGGGACUGAGACACGGCCCAGACUCCUACGGGAGGCAGCAGUGGGAAAUAUUGGACAAUGGGCGAAAGCCUGAUCCAGCAAUGCCGCGUGAGUGAUGAAGGCCUUAGGGUUGUAAAGCUCUUUUACCCGGGAUGAUAAUGACAGUACCGGGAGAAUAAGCUCCGGCUAACUCCGUGCCAGCCGCCGCCGUAA